rnacentral:lncRNA from 1 species
CCGGAACAAAAGCACUUUGGGCCUCAUCUAUAAAACAUUCUAAAACUUGUUGGAGACGAUUUACAACAAUUUUAGAAAUAAUUUUAUUAGCAUUGUACAAAGACUUAUAGGUUUUCGUAGGUUGAACAAUUUUUGAAAUUAACAUAAUAUUUGUAACAUUUAGAGGUUUUAGUGACAUACCUACAUUUAGUAUUUUAAGACAGAAAUUGCUCAAAUCAGGCCCAAUAAUGUGCCAAAAUUGUUGGUAAAAAACCAUAAAAAGCCAUCAUUUCUCACUACUUUUGUUGGCCCCAUACCUUUCAGAGUAGCUAAAACCUCCUUAGCAGUAUACCAUACCAAUAACAUUUGAUUCACAUCCUCCCUUAUUCAUUGCUCCACUCCAAAUAAUAUAUGCUCCACUUCUCCCACACUUUUCGUAGAAAAAAUAUUUUCAAAAUAUUUUCGAGCAAUAUCCUCCAUCUCGCUCUUUAUAUUUAUAAUUUCUCCCACUUCAGUUUUCAAACUCUUGAUACGAUUGAUAUGUCUCCUUUGCAAUGCAAAUUUAUGGAAGAACGCAGUAUUCCUAUCCCCCCAUUUUUCAACCAGUUUGCUCAAGCCCUUUAUUCCCAAUACACUUAUUCCUACUUCAUCUCCCAAUUAAGAUGAAGUUUCACAUCAAUAAUUUUGGAAAGCUUAUCAUCAACCCCUGCCGCUUCAGUUAAAAUUUUCAAUUUUUGAUUUAAAACUUUUGUUGCCCCAACCCAUUUCUCCUUAAUGUUCUUUUCCCAUACCAGCAAUGCAUUUUUAAACGCAUCCAAUUUUGCUAGGACAUCACCCAUAAUUGAAUCCCAUACACGUCACACCAAUUCUUCACAAGAAUAUUCAAAAAUCCAUUAAGCUUAAAGCCUAAACUUUCUACAUUUUCUCCC